rnacentral:rRNA from 1 species
AGAGUUUGAUCCUGGCUCAGGACGAACGCUGGCGGCGUGCUUAACACAUGCAAGUCGAACGGUGAAGGGGCUGGUUUUGCUGGUCCUGGAUGAGUGGCGAACGGGUGAGUAACACGUGAGUAACCUGCCCCCUUCUUCUGGAUAACCGCAUGAAAGUGUGGCUAAUACGGGAUAUUCUGGGUCUGUCGCAUGGUGGGCCUGGGAAAGGUUUUUUCCGGUGGGGGAUGGGCUCGCGGCCUAUCAGCCUGUUGGUGGGGUGAUGGCCUACCAAGGCGGUGACGGGUAGCCGGCCUGAGAGGGUGGACGGUCACACUGGGACUGAGACACGGCCCAGACUCCUACGGGAGGCAGCAGUGGGGAAUAUUGCACAAUGGGCGCAAGCCUGAUGCAGCGACGCCGCGUGAGGGAUGGAGGCCUUCGGGUUGUGAACCUCUUUCGCCAGUGAAGCAGGCCUGCUCCUUUUUUGUGGGUGGGUUGACGGUAGCUGGAUAAGAAGCGCCGGCUAACUACGUGCCAGCAGCCGCGGUAAUACGUAGGGCGCGAGCGUUGUCCGGAAUUAUUGGGCGUAAAGAGCUCGUAGGCGGCUGGUCGCGUCUGUCGUGAAAUCCUCUGGCUUAACUGGGGGCUUGCGGUGGGUACGGGCCGGCUUGAGUGCGGUAGGGGAGGCUGGAACUCCUGGUGUAGCGGUGGAAUGCGCAGAUAUCAGGAAGAACACCGGUGGCGAAGGCGGGUCUCUGGGCCGUUACUGACGCUGAGGAGCGAAAGCGUGGGGAGCGAACAGGAUUAGAUACCCUGGUAGUCCACGCCGUAAACGUUGGGCACUAGGUGUGGGGGGCCUUUUCCGGGUUUUCCGCGCCGUAGCUAACGCAUUAAGUGCCCCGCCUGGGGAGUACGGCCGCAAGGCUAAAACUCAAAGGAAUUGACGGGGGCCCGCACAAGCGGCGGAGCAUGCGGAUUAAUUCGAUGCAACGCGAAGAACCUUACCAAGGCUUGACAUGUGCCGGUCUGCUCCGGAGACGGGGUUUCCUCCCUUGUGGGGGCUGGUUCACAGGUGGUGCAUGGUUGUCGUCAGCUCGUGUCGUGAGAUGUUGGGUUAAGUCCCGCAACGAGCGCAACCCUUGUCUCGUGUUGCCAGCACGUUGUGGUGGGGACUCGCGGGAGACUGCCGGGGUCAACUCGGAGGAAGGUGGGGAUGACGUCAAAUCAUCAUGCCCCUUAUGUCUUGGGCUUCACGCAUGCUACAAUGGCCGGUACAGAGGGCUGCGAUACCGUGAGGUGGAGCGAAUCCCUUAAAGCCAGUCUCAGUUCGGAUCGGUGUCUGCAACUCGACACCGUGAAGUUGGAGUCGCUAGUAAUCGCAGAUCAGCAACGCUGCGGUGAAUACGUUCUCGGGCCUUGUACACACCGCCCGUCAAG